CAAUCCUCCCUCCCUCCCUCCGCCACCGUGACGCGCUGGGGAAGGGGCGGAGGCGGCUGCGGACCCGAGCCCGGGGCCCCGGUCAGUGCUGCCGCCGCGUCCCGAGGACCCCGGGAUUCGCAGGCCAGGUGAGGAAAUGGAACAAGGAUGUGUAACAUUCAAUGACAACAUGAUGGUUUUUAGGCCUGUCUGAAGACAGAAUUGGUGCAAAUCCAUCUGAAGCUGCUGCACAGGGGUUAUUUCUCCUUCUGAAAGCUGUUAUCCCAGAACUGUUGUC